ACGUUGCCCUUGCCAUGAUCAGCACCAGCAAAAUGGAUGCCUCACACUUGCCUCUUCCUCCACAGAACUCACAGUUCUAAAGUCUCACAAUAGUGGAAUCUGUAACACAAACAGAACCGUAGCUGCAAAGGAGUUUAAGCAAUGGAGUAAGUGUUUAGCUUUCCAGCCUCUGCAGUUCAGAAAGCAAGCUAGAAAGGGAUUGGAAUGAAUUUCAAGAAAAUGAGCCUAAAGUAUCUGCCAUGACUUGCCGUAUGCCAGGUUCCGUAAACAUGCCUGAUCUCAUUUCAUUCUUACAAGAAUUUAGUAAGGGCUUAUAAUUAUCCCCUUUUGACAGAUGAGGACACUACAGUAAAUGGUGGACACACAGUAUGGUCUUGGUUUUGCUUUGAGAAGUUGAAAGAGGGCCCUCUGUCCACUCUUGGAGAGAAGUAAAGUGAAGCGGGGAAGACAGAGCUGCCUGGAGAAGCCGGGAUGAAAGACGACAACCCACGAAAAUAAAGCAGCAGUCCCAAGGUGACAAAGGACAGCCAGAAUGAAUUUGAGAACUCAGGAGUGGUGCUGCUCUAUGAAUUCAUGCCAGAUUCCAGAGUCCCUGCUCUCUCCACAAACACAUGCUGCCCUCAAUGGGAAAAACCAGAACUUACACACACGUAACAAACAUGUAAGAACACUUCCCUGGUUACAGUCCAACCACUCCAGUUGGAUUGGUAGCACAGAACACAGCGCAAAAGUAAAGAACUCAGCAAGGAAGGCUUCCAGAAGGAGGUAAGUUUUCAGUCGGUUUUAGAAGAGAGGCGAAGUUUUAGUUUACAUAUGGCUGUCAGAAGGCAGAUGAAAAGAUGAAAGAACUCACACGCCCUCAUGCCAAGACUCAGCAGCUGAAGGGGGCAGCCUUGGAGCAAAUCAAAGCAAUGUCCUUGAUUGAGGAUGAAAGAGAAUUUGGGCCUGGAAUUGGAAAUCUGUGGACACUAAUCUUCAGCUUUGUGCUGACGUCAGAGCCCCCAGGACAUAGUUGUAUCUUCUAGUUGUGAGUGCCUCUGGUUGUGCUAUGUGGGACACCGCCUCAGCAGGGCCUGACGAUGGAUGCCAUAUCCGCGCCCAGGAUCUGAACCAGCGAAACCAGGGGCCACAGAAGCAGAGCACAGGAGCUUAACCACUGGGCCACAAGCCGACCCCUGGAAUUUUUUUUAACAGUCAAAAAAAUUAUGAAAGUAAUAGUUCCUUCGGUUAAAAGUUUAAACAGCAUCAAAGCAUAUAAUGAUCAAAGCAAAAUCUGCCCCCUCUCAACCCCACUUUCCAGGCACAACUGUUAAUUUUUUUGAAGAUUCUUCCACAAUUAUUUUCUAUUCAUGUAUCUAUGUAUAUAUUUACACAUAUGUAUAUAUCUUUUACACACAAAUAGGGCAAUGCUAUAUGCACUGGUCUGCAACUUGUUUUUCUCUUUUUUAUUUAAUUUAUCUUACUGAUUUUGAGUAGACAAUACAUUCAAAAGCUUCCUAAAUUUUUUAAGAAACAAUAUGUCUUGAACAUCCUUUCAAAGCAGUAUAUAUUGGUGAAACUCAUUCCUUUUGAUGGAGGAAUAAUAUUCCAUUGCUUGGGUGUAUCAUAAAUUAUUCAUUGAGUCCUCCUCUGAUGGACUAAAAUGUAAAUCUCUAUAAGAGUAGGUACUUUAUUAACUUGUUGUGGUCAUUACUCACUGCUGUCCCGGAUAAUGAGAAGAAUACGCAAUAAAAUUUGUUUAAUGAGUAAGUGGA